CCCAUGUGAGGUGUCAAGACACAGACACACACAUGUGACCCCCAUGUGAGGUGUCCAGGCACAGAAACAUGUGACCCCCCCACAUGAGGUGUCCAGGCAGACACAUGUGACCCCAUGUGAGGUUUCCAGGCACAGACACACACAUGUGACCCUCAUGUGAGGUUUCCAGGCACAGACACACACAUGUGACCCUCAUGUGAGGUGUCCAGACAGGUAAAAUGCACAAAGAUAAAAAGGAGCAGGGUAGGGGCUGGGAAGAGGGUGUGGGGAUUGUGUAACGGACAGAGUUUCAGUUUAGCAAAAAAACAUGACUGAUCUAACACUUAAAAAUGGUAAUAUGGAAGAUUUUAUGUUCUGUAUCUUCUGUAAUUAAACAAUAAAAGACAGGUCUAGCAGUUAAGACCCUCAUACCCUAUAUCAGCACACCUGG